rnacentral:rRNA from 1 species
UACAGGGGGUGCAAACGUUGCUCGGAAUCGAUUGGCGUAAGCGCACGUAGGCGGUCUGUUAUGUCGGGAUGUGAAAGCCCUUGGCUUAACUGACGGAAGUGCAUCGAAACUGGCAGGCUAGAGUACGUAAGAGGCGAGUGGAAUUCCCGGUGUAGCGGUGAAAUGCGCAGAUAUCGGGAGGAACACCAAUGGCGAAGGCAGCUCUCUGGGACGGUACUGACGCUGAGACGCGAAAGCGUGGGGAGCGAACGAGG